AGCAUAUCAAUAAGCGGAGGAAAAGAAACCAACAGGGAUUGCCUCAGUAACGGCGAGUGAAGCGGCAAUAGCUCAAAUUUGAAAUCUGGCUCUUUCAGAGUCCGAAUUGUAAUUUGUAGAGGACGCUUCGGCUUCGAUUCAGUUAAAGUUCCUUGGAAUAGGACGUCAUAGAGGGUGAGAAUCCCGUUUGUGACUUGAAUAUCUUAGCUAUGUGAAGCUCUUUCCGACGAGUCGAGUUGUUUGGGAAUGCAGCUCUAAAUGGGUGGUAAAUUUCAUCUAAAGCUAAAUACUGGCCAGAGACCGUUAGCGCACAAGUAGAGUGAUCGAAAGAUGAAAAGCACUUUGGAAAGAGAGUUAAACAGUACGUGAAAUUGUUGAAAGGGAAGCGCUUGCAAUCAGACUUGCUUGCAGUUUGAUCAUCCAGUGGAUUUUUUUCCGCUGGUGCACUCAAUUGCAAAUCAGGCCAGCAUCAGUUUAGGUGGCUGGAUAAAGACGUCAGGAAUGUAGCUCUCUUCGGGGAGUGUUAUAGCCUGGGGUGUAAUGCAGCCUGCCUAGACUGAGGACCGCGCUUCGGCUAGGAUGCUGGCGUAAUGGUUGUAAGCGACCCGUCU
rnacentral:rRNA from 1 species